UCAAUUGCGUUCAUUAAUCAAGAACGAAAGUUAGGGGAUCGAAGACGAUUAGAUACCGUCGUAGUCCUAACUAUAAACGAUGUCAACCAAGGAUUGGAUUAGUCAUAGAGGGACAGAAGUCCGGCAACGCUGUUGUCGGGCUGACGGACCUCGCUUCCACCUUAUUCAGAACUUAAAGAGAAAUCUUGAGUUUAUGGACUUCAGGGGGAGUAUGGUCACAAGGCUGAAACUUAAAGGAAUUGACGGAAGGGCACACCAGGAGUGGAGCCUGCGGCUUAAUUUGACUCAACACGGGAAAACUUACCAAGACCGAACAGUAUUAGGAAUGACAGGUUAAGGGUCCUUUCAUGAUUUAUUGGGUAGUGGUGCAUGGCCGUUCUUAGUUGGUGGAGUGAUUUGUCAGGUUAAUUCCGGUAACGAACGAGACUGAAGCCUAUUAAUUAGUUCCUCGCCUAUACGACGAGGAUGUCCGCAAGGAUGGAUGCGUCCGCAUCACUUCUUAAAGGGACUAAUAUCAAUUGUUUCUCGAUUGAUCAGUGUCACCGUCUCGGCGGUUCCUUUUCAAUCGGAAAAAAAGAUAAUGGAAGCAUUCAGCAAUAACAGGUCUGUGAUGCCCUUAGACAUCUUGGGCUGCACGCGCGCUACAAUGGAGAUACUAGCGAGUAUUUGUUGAAGUUGCUCGGGUCGCUGGCUUCGGUCAGCGGUUCGAGAUGUUCUUCGAUGUACCGAGACUGA
rnacentral:rRNA from 1 species